CAUAGAGUCGGUUAUUGCAACACUUCAUUGGAAAAAAAAACUUUUAAUACGAUUUAUAUAUUCUUAUCACAAAAUUCUAAGGUCAGCCAAAAAUAAACCCUUUUACAAUCCUGUUAACAUAUAAUUCCACAACCAUGCCCGCCACUACUAUUGCUCAAACUAAGUUUGAUCUGCCGUUGCUACAACCACCAUACUUCGACCACCAUACCGCUACUCUGACCACUAUUUUACGACCAUCAUACCACUGCUCCGACAACCGUAUCACUACUCCGACAACCGUACCUCAAUUUCAAAGCUGCUCUAAAAUCCCUUCCCAACUCAGAACACUUCAAGAAGCCAAAAAGUGCGACCACCGUACGUCGAUUUCAAAGCUGCUCCAACUUCAACUCCUCCACUGCUCCGACAACCACUUCAAUUUCACUUCAAUUUUGAGAAAAUUUGGGCUUUUGUUCUUUAAUUGGGGGAUUUUAAGGCAUUUUCAUAAGUUGCUCGGUAAGCUCAAUGUUGACAACCUCAAUGUCGAUGCUCGGCUCUUCAUUAUUGGUUUUAUGGGAGGAACAGUGACACAAGUAAAUCUUGAAUGUUUACCAAGACUCCUGACAGUGCAGGUGAACUUGUGUGACCAAAUACUCGAACAAGAAUGCUGUUAGUUAAUUGGAAGAGAGACAUGCAGUAGUAUCGUCUGUGUUGGAGUUAAUCAGAAGGAGAACAUGCUGAGCAACCAGUUGGUGUGGUGAAGAAAUCAGCUACGAAUGCAUUGCGUUGUGUUGAGAAGUGGAUGGCCCCUCAAAAGGGCCAGCUUCUGGUUAUAAAAGUGCAUCUAACAGGGGAUCUGAAAGUGCAAAGGUUAAUGCUGCAUCGAGUAAGCAGCAUGUGUCACAUGCUUUUUCCAGUCAAUUCUCUCAAGUACACCCAGUAAGAAACUGUCUUUCGUGUUUAGAAGGUGUUCAAUAGGGAUUCUUUUCUGUGGGUUGAUUUAUUAGUUUUAUUCUAAUUUCAAGUAUGCUUGGUACUUAUUGGGGAAAUUUGAACUUGAAUCUUUUCUUCACCUCUUCAUGGUGUUGUGGCUCAUGCAUCUGUGAUUUUUUAUGUGAAUCCUUUUAUAGGGUAAAGUUACUCAAGCUAUAGGAAGCAUUAUUCAUGGGAAGGCUUUGUCUAAUCAUGGUCAGCUGAAGGCUCCUCUUCCAUCUAAAAUUGACUUGUCUAAUCUCAGAUUAGGUGCUCAUGAGUGCACUAAUACAGAGCGAUAAAGUCAGGCCAAAGUUUCUUAAUGGAAUAGCCCCAAGUGAUGGGAAGGUGAGUCCUGAUACAUUGACAGAACAGAAUCGAUGACCUCGAAUUGACAAAAUGAAAAGGCAACUGGUUGUAAAGACCUACACUACAAGAGCAGGAAAUGUUGAUAUGCAAGGCAAUGUAGUUCACGCUGAGGAAGUAUAAUAGAGGUGAUUUUCUGAUGGACUUCGUCAAUAACAAGUUUUUUGUGAUCAAAUCGUCCAACGAGGAUGUUCUGCAAGUGGGCCGUUUUGUGGUGUCACUGAAAUGACUGGUCCUGUGGACUUCUACAAGGACAUGGAUUUUUGGCAGCAAGAUAAGUGGAGUGGUAGCUUCAGUUACUUAUAGCCAAUUGAACUUGAUACUAUGUGGGAAAAGUAAUAAUUAUUUGACUUAAAUAUUUUGCUUUUCAGUUUAGAUUAUAGUUUGUUGUAUAUUUGAAUUUGGAUUAUUAUUAAUGAAAGAUUUUGUUGUGAUUUGUA